UAAUGCUCCAUAGUGGAUAUGUCCUGGAAUGGUAUAUCCUCGAAAGAUCCGUCGCCUUAGGAUGGGACUGCGUCCGAUUAGGUUGUUGGCGGGGUAACGGCCCACCAAGCCAUUGAUCGGUACGGGUUGUGGGAGCAAGAUCCCGGAGAUGGAUUCUGAGACAUGAAUCCAGGCCCUACGGGGCGCAGCAGGCGCGCAAACUUUACAAUGCGAGCAAUCGUGAUAAGGAAACCCUGAGUGCCUGUCGAUGCAGGCUGUUCAUAUAUCUAAAUCAUAUGUGAAGAAAGGGCAGGGCAAGACCGGUGCCAGCCGCCGCGGUAAUACCGGCUGCUCGAGUGAUGGCCACUAUUACUGGGUUUAAAGCGUCCGUAGCCUGACUGUUAGGUCUCUUGGGAAAUCUUCACGCUCAACGUGAAGGCGUCUAAGAGAUACCGGCAGUCUUGGAACUGGGAGAGGUAAACCGUACUUCGGGGGUAGGAGUGAAAUCUUGUAAUCCUCGAGGGACGACCUAUGGCGAAGGCAGUUUACCAGAACAGCUUCGACAGUGAGGGACGAAAGCUGGGGGAGCAAACGGGAUUAGAUACCCCGGUAGUCCCAGCCGUAAACAAUGUGCGUUAGGUGU
rnacentral:rRNA from 1 species